rnacentral:rRNA from 1 species
GAUGAACGCUGGCGGCGUGCCUAAUACAUGCAAGUCGAGCGAACGGACGAGAAGCUUGCUUCUCUGAUGUUAGCGGCGGACGGGUGAGUAACACGUGGAUAACCUACCUAUAAGACUGGGAUAACUUCGGGAAACCGGAGCUAAUACCGGAUAAUAUUUUGAACCGCAUGGUUCAAAAGUGAAAGACGGUCUUGCUGUCACUUAUAGAUGGAUCCGCGCUGCAUUAGCUAGUUGGUAAGGUAACGGCUUACCAAGGCAACGAUGCAUAGCCGACCUGAGAGGGUGAUCGGCCACACUGGAACUGAGACACGGUCCAGACUCCUACGGGAGGCAGCAGUAGGGAAUCUUCCGCAAUGGGCGAAAGCCUGACGGAGCAACGCCGCGUGAGUGAUGAAGGUCUUCGGAUCGUAAAACUCUGUUAUUAGGGAAGAACAUAUGUGUAAGUAACUGUGCACAUCUUGACGGUACCUAAUCAGAAAGCCACGGCUAACUACGUGCCAGCAGCCGCGGUAAUACGUAGGUGGCAAGCGUUAUCCGGAAUUAUUGGGCGUAAAGCGCGCGUAGGCGGUUUUUUAAGUCUGAUGUGAAAGCCCACGGCUCAACCGUGGAGGGUCAUUGGAAACUGGAAAACUUGAGUGCAGAAGAGGAAAGUGGAAUUCCAUGUGUAGCGGUGAAAUGCGCAGAGAUAUGGAGGAACACCAGUGGCGAAGGCGACUUUCUGGUCUGUAACUGACGCUGAUGUGCGAAAGCGUGGGGAUCAAACAGGAUUAGAUACCCUGGUAGUCCACGCCGUAAACGAUGAGUGCUAAGUGUUAGGGGGUUUCCGCCCCUUAGUGCUGCAGCUAACGCAUUAAGCACUCCGCCUGGGGAGUACGACCGCAAGGUUGAAACUCAAAGGAAUUGACGGGGACCCGCACAAGCGGUGGAGCAUGUGGUUUAAUUCGAAGCAACGCGAAGAACCUUACCAAAUCUUGACAUCCUUUGACAACUCUAGAGAUAGAGCCUUCCCCUUCGGGGGACAAAGUGACAGGUGGUGCAUGGUUGUCGUCAGCUCGUGUCGUGAGAUGUUGGGUUAGGUCCCGCAACGAGCGCAACCCUUAAGCUUAGUUGCCAUCAUUAAGUUGGGCACUCUAAGUUGACUGCCGGUGACAAACCGGAGGAAGGUGGGGAUGACGUCAAAUCAUCAUGCCCCUUAUGAUUUGGGCUACACACGUGCUACAAUGGACAAUACAAAGGGCAGCGAAACCGCGAGGUCAAGCAAAUCCCAUAAAGUUGUUCUCAGUUCGGAUUGUAGUCUGCAACUCGACUACAUGAAGCUGGAAUCGCUAGUAAUCGUAGAUCAGCAUGCUACGGUGAAUACGUUCUCGGGUCU